GUGGGCGUGGUGUAGCAGGUUAACACGUCAGGUUGUGGCCCUGAAGAUCGAGGGUUCGAAUCCCUCCGCUCACCCCA
rnacentral:tRNA from 1 species